GAUUGCCAAGAGUUUGCAUAGGUGAUAUGAGCCUUCUGAACCCACUUCUACUCUUGGAAGAGGGUGCUGAGGUUCCUAGGAAACAGGAACCCACAGGGGAACAGAAACAGAGAAAGAUGAAUUAAGAGCCACACAGCCUGAAAGACGCAAUUUUCGAUCUCAAUCCCUAGAAUCCUUCAUCAAAAUGGCCCCAGCAGUUACCUCCGUGGGACAUUGAUAACGCUUCCAGGAAUAGUCAGUUACUGUUGAUCUCUCAGGGGAGGAAUUGUCCAAUCUGAUUCUUCCUAUAGAAAGGAUGAGCAUAGCUUGUAGAGUAGGGAAUGACUGACUACCAAGGAGGAGGUCAUCCUUUUGUGGGAGGAGCUGCUCCUCUCUGUUACCUUAUAAAAGUGAACUUAGAAAAGGACUUUGUCCUUCUUGCCUUUUCCCUCUUUUCUCUUGGGUUUGUCUUUCUUCCAGAUUGCAGAGAGAGAAUUUCUCCUUCUCUUCUCAUUCCUCACUUCCAGCCACUGAUGUCCCUCCAUCUACAAGACAGAGGCUGAUGUACACUUGUCCCAAAGGUGCGAGAAGAGAGUUCCUAAGAGUGUACUUUCCCAGGAGAGUGGAGUGAGAGUAAGAGUGAAAGAAGUGAUAACAGAUUGUACUUUUCCAUUUGACCUCAGGAGAGAAAGCAAAGGACAAUGUUCCUGAAUUCCAGCCUCUUCUAGUUGUCUGGGAGGGGAGGAAUUCAGUGUCUUAAUUAUGAUGAUCCAAUAACUUAGCUUUCUGCCCAGGAAAGGUAGAUUUCUUGGACAGCAUCAGUCUUACAAUGGCACUUCAAUUCAAAAUUCCUAAAGCCUUAAAAUCCAGCCUUCUUUUAUCUAGGGAAGAUUGAUUGCCUAAAGGGAUCAUUCAUAGAAUCUCGACUUCUAACCAGACAAGGGAGACUGGAUUUUUGGGCAGUGUCAGCCAGGGAGCUUGCCAUUAGCAAGUCUCCAGUCUGAGAAUUUGAGGACCAGAUAUUUUAGAGAAAAGGGGAAUUUCUAGUGUUAUUCUAGGGCAAAAAAGAGGAUUGAUGGUGUCAUCCCUGAAACUAGAAGAAAUGCUAAGGUCACAACUUGGGAGGGCAAGAUUGGGAUCUUAUGCCCUAUGCCAUUUUUUAGUGAGUUAUUUAGAAAGGGGAAUAUUUUUUUUUCAGUCUCAAAAUGCAUCGGCUUCAAGUAGUUUAAAUCCCAAAGUAGCACUGUGAGUCUGGGAGGAACUAUGUAGGCAAAGAGAGUAUUUUACCAGAAUGUCAAGUUCAAUCAUCUUCAGAAGGGAGCCUAUGGACUAUUACGAGUGCUUUAUUAUUCUCUGUAGCUUUAAGGAUCCUUGCGAGUCC
rnacentral:lncRNA from 1 species